GAUGAGCGCUAGCUACAGGCUUAACACAUGCAAGUCGAGGGGCAGCAUAAAUCUAGCAAUAGAUUUGAUGGCGACCGGCGCACGGGUGAGUAACACGUAUCCAACCUACCUAUUACUCGGGUAUAGCCUUUCGAAAGAAAGAUUAAUCCCCGAUACGUUAUUGAGUUCGCAUGAAUUUGAUAUGAAAGAUUUAUUGGUAUUAGAUGGGGAUGCGUUCCAUUAGAUUGUUGGUGAGGUAACGGCUCACCAAGUCUUCGAUGGAUAGGGGGUCUGAGAGGAAGGUCACCCCCACUGGAACUGAGACACGGUCCAGACUCCUACGGGAGGCAGCAGUGAGGAAUAUUGGUCAAUGGGCGAGAGCCUGAACCAGCCAAGUAGCGUGAGGGAUGACUGCCCUAUGGGUUGUAAACCUCUUUUAUAAGGGAAUAAAACGCUCCACGUGUGGAGCUUUGCAUGUACCUUUUGAAUAAGGAUCGGCUAACUCCGUGCCAGCAGCCGCAGUAAAAC
rnacentral:rRNA from 1 species